AGUCUGUAUGUGUGGGGAGGUAGAGUGGGGAGUGGAGGGUGUCAAGGGUCCGUGAACAUAGUCUUUCCCACCCCCUUAAAUAAGGAAGAUGCUGGAGGUGGGUGACGGUGGAGAAGCGCCACCCACUCUCUCAUUUCUCCCUUAAGUCAGAAGCUGCUGCCAGUCUGCGCUGGCCCCCUCGCCCUUAGCUCUCUUGGGGUCGGGUCAGAGCACUCUGGGCUUGGUUUAGCUCAGAUCCAAUAGUUCGGGACCCAGGUGUUGGCCAGCUUCCCAUCGCUCUCUCCACCUUCCUUCUGCUGGUAGACAAUCUCCCAGAGGCUGCCAAACUCCGGACUUUGUGCUUUAUAGAAGCAAUGGAUAAAAAUUGCAGCCAAGCAAAUUUCAGCACACUUGGGGGAAAAACAAACCCUUCCUCUUUCUUGACUCUUUCCAAGUGUGGAAUGGAGGGGGCCACCACCUUCCUGUGGAAGGAGUAGCAACACCUCUUGCGACUGCCAAAGAAAGGAUUCUUGCUCAAGGUGGUGAUAUAAAGUCAUGCCAUACUUCUGCCAAGUCUCCAUUCAAAUUCUCACUUCAGAACUAUCAACUAAGACUAUUCCUUCUCCCACUAAUUGCAGCCCAUUGUAGGAAGCAAUUAUUAGGAAGAACUUCUUCCCGAAGGCUAGAAUUGCUAAAUUCUGGAGGACUCAGAUAUGCAAAAUGAGAUCCCAUAAACAUUAAAUGCCC
rnacentral:lncRNA from 1 species